AAUGGCUAUAGCAGAAGCUUAGUUUUGAGCUCAGUGACCGAUGGUGGAAAUGGGAAUUAUUACUGCUCUUGCUCUUUUCUUAAAGCCACUUCACCAAUUUGUGAAUCUCAAUUAUCUUUUGCUGCACAUCAGAAAUAUAGUCUUUGGUUUUUCUCAUUGUGAUGAAUGAUUAAGGGAAUUUGGGCUUUGUUUUCCCUCCUCUUUAUAUUUCUGUGAAACAGGAAGCCAUGGAUGGAUAAUUUCAUAUUCGUAAUCACCCUGGAGAGCUCAAAAUUGUGAAUAUGAAUGGGAAUAUACUUCAGAGAUAUUUUGCUGAUAAGAAUUUCUAGGGAUGCCAAUAAUUGUGUCCAGUGUGUAUUUGAGAAAAACAUUCAUUUCAAAAUGAUAUUUCUCCCCAUUUUAAAUUCUUAUUAUCCAAUGAAAGCUUAGAUUCUUUUUUUAAUAAAAGAUCAAAAGGAUUAACAAUGCAGAUUAAUUUUCACAGCCUUCUUUGAACAUAUUUACCAAGGGGGGCAAUAUUUUGUGGCCAUGACUGUAGAUUAAAAUGAGAAAUAAUUGUUUACAAUUAUUGAUAUGCAAACAAAUGGUCAAGAAUGUGUACGUUAAUGUGACGGUUAGAUAAAUUAAAUGGUUGACAAAUAAUAUGGCAUUCAGUUGCAUUUUACGUUAAAUAUUUAUGUCCUUGAGUUUAGCAAUACACAACAACGAGUUGGCACUACAAUCGCGCAAAUCUAUAGGAUAAUGUUGUUAAAAAAAAAAAAUUAACUUUAAACUUAAAACCGACUCUUGUUUUACAAUCUGAUACGUGACGCACUGUAACGUUACUCGAAAAGUAGAUUUCCUGGAAGAGCGUCUGUCAUGCCCUGAAUUAUGAAGCAAAAUACGAAAACAUUUAUUUAGUAACACCAGAUUCUUGUGGUAACUUAGGUGUAAAUUAAAAUACGUGUUUUAAUUCUUGUUUUCGCUCUGUGUUUUCAGGUACGUUAACUUUCAAACGGCCAGAGAAAACGACGCACAUUUCGCAUCCAAACUAUGCGAAAACAACACAUAUAAAUGUAUAUGUGCUGCCGAAGCAAGCACGAACAGAGAGCAUGGAGGAGAGCUACAUAUACCGCUGACUCCCAGAUAUUUUUCUCAUAGGUGCUUUGAUUGGACCGCUCGGCAUGACGCAGAGGAGCUCUUGGUCACGUGUCACGAACCCUCCCCCACGCACCGACGGCACACAACCUCCCCCGCGGUCAAAGAGCGGCCGCCUUCCUCACAGAAGAGCAUUACAGACUGAAAGACCUCGAAACUCUCCUUUCAGAACAACAGAGGGGGCGUGAAAACUCAGAGUUUAAACCCAAAAAGGUUUAACUCAGAACACCCACUAAAAACAUUCAAUGUGAGGUCAGGAUCCAUUGCUGCCUCUGGUCCAAAGUCAUGUGCAAUUUAACAUCCUCAUGUAUAAUGUAGUUGCAAAAUAUUUUUUGAAGCUUAAAAAGCAUUUUUAAAAAUCUGUUACGAUAUAUAGCCUAUCUAUAUAUUUUUCUAGAUUAUUCCCAAUAAUUUGUAAUUUUUUUAAAACUAUUUUUAUCAACAAAGCUGAAUGUAGCCAGUUAUUUAGCCUAUAGUUUUUAUAAAUAAAGCCAUCAGCAUGAUGCCA
ensembl:lncRNA